rnacentral:rRNA from 1 species
UACGUAGGGUGCGAGCGUUGUCCGGAAUUAUUGGGCGUAAAGGGCUCGUAGGCGGUUUGUCGCGUCGGGAGUGAAAACCUCGGGCUUAACUCGGGGCUUGCUUUCGAUACGGGCAGACUAGAGGUAUGCAGGGGAGAACGGAAUUCCUGGUGUAGCGGUGAAAUGACGCAGAUAUCAGGAGGAACACCGGUGGCGAAGGCGGUUCUCUGGGCAUUACCUGACGCUGAGGAGCGAAAGUGUGGGGAGCGAACAGG